CUGCGUUUGCAUCUUGGUUUGAGAAGUCACAGUUUGUUCUUGUGGGCAUCUGUCUAAUCUGAAAUGAUGUCAGAAAACAUCCUUCUGUGAUAUGCUGCACUUUAAGUAGGUAAAGGAUUGGUCUAAACCGACGUCAACGGAACUGGAAACACUGGUUAACAUUCAGGUCUUGUCUGCAUUUCUGAAGCAACAUCGGCUUAUUUUUCAUCACAAUCCGGGAUGGAACAGAUGUUUACAGCUCGCUGGGAAAUCAGGAUACAGGUAUGCUGCCCUGGGCCAUGGGUCCCUUCAAAGUGUGAAGCAUUGCUACUGAGCAGAUUCUGAGGAGAAGCAGCAGCACUGAAGGCCAGUCUAUGACAUGGAUGAGAUUGUGUCGUCUUACAGAGAAAACAAAUCGCAGAGUGAAACCACUGGAAUAUCUAUGCACAGUGUAUGCAAGGCUCAAGCCCAGUGGUACAUUCUCUACUGUAGAAAUAUAAGGAUUAGGGCUUGAGAAAUAAUAGGGAUGACAACAGGACCCGUCAGAUUCCACUAGUUCUCAUUUAUGG